rnacentral:lncRNA from 1 species
AGCUCUUGUACCAGGGAAAUGAAGAUUUGAUCCUGCACUGCUCUUAAGACACUCAGGAAUCUCUCCGUUACCUCAGAGAAUCUGGCCACAAACAGGACUCAGAGUGGAAAUUGCCCAACCUGUCUGCUAUCACUCUCUUGAAAGAGACAGAUCCGAUCAGCAUCUCUCAACUGUGACUCAUGAGGUAUUUUUGGCUAUGUCAAGAACAUUCUCAAACAAGGGCAGCAAAGGACCAUAAGCAAUUCUCCAAUGGUGAAGAUCGACCCCAGUCAUGUAAAAACACAACAAGUCCUCCCAUUCUGACAGGGCCAUCAAUUACAAAGACAUGACUUGUUAACAUCAGAGAUGGGCACAUGACCAACUGACCAACCAGAAAACCUCAUCCCCUGGGAGAUGGAGGCAACACAUUUCACUUUUGCUUAAGAAGGAUCUUGCAGAAAGUGAAGAAGAGCAGGAAUAGAGAAGACAUUUGAAUGACGACUGAUGUUCUCUUCUUUGGCCUGAGGUUUUAGAACACAUUCACUGCCUGAUCACUGUGGCCCAGAAGCCAUGGCCUCUGCUGAGAGAUAGGGACCCCAUGUUCCCUCUACACAUCUUCUUCCCCAAAGCCUCUCUGAGGCUCCUAUGUUCAAAGAAACAGUCCUCUGGCAAUGGCCUGGUCCUUUCUGCCAUACCAAAGAAAGUUGUUUUUUGUUUUGAGCAAGAGAUCACUUCUGAUUUUCCUACCUUUGACAUGGACCAGACUAAUUGACAAAUUCUAGAAGGACAGACACUUCCAAACGUCUCUUGACAUACUGGCUUCACAAAGGUUAGGAAAGCUGUUAUGGGGAGGACGGAGCCUUUCUCCUCUUCCUGAGAACGUUUGAAGAAGAAAGGGGCUACUGAGAAGUCUGGUAGAUUCAGCAGCUAGUAAAUAUCGUGUCUAAAUGGGCAUCUUUUAUUAAACUCUGAGGCAGGGUUGGUGUGUUAGGCCAUUCUUUCUUGCUAUAAAGAAAUAUCUGAGACUGGGUAACUUAUAAAGAACAGAGGUUUAAUUGGCUCAUGGUUCUGCAGGCUGCACAGAAAGCAUAAUGACAUCUUCUUCUGGCUAGGCCUCUGGAAGCUUCCAAUGAUGGUGGAAGGCGAAGAGGGAACUUGCGCAUCACAUGGCAAAAGCAGGAGCAAGAGAGAGGCGAGGAGGUGCCGCACACUUUUAAAAGACCAGAUCUCAUGAAAACUCACUAUUGUGAGGACAGCACCAAGAGGAUCGUGCUAAAUUAUUCAAGAGAAAUCCUCCCCCAUGAUCCAGUCACCUCCCACCAGGCCCCACCUCCAACAUUGGGGAUUACAUUUCAACAUGAGAUUUGGAUGGAAACACAUUCAAGCUUUAUCAGGUCUAGAGGGCAGCGUCAGGGAAGCCAGAGAUUCCAAGCACAAGAAAGAUUUGAUGCAGCCUUGGUGACUUGGAGAUGGAAGGGGCCAUGAGGCAAGGAAUGUAGACAACUGUAAGUGUUGAAAGUGGACCUCAGCUGGCAGCCAGUAAGAAAAGAGGAACCUUCAGGCUACAACCUCAAGGGACAGAAUUCAGCCAACAUCCAGAGUAAGUUUAGAAAUGGACUUUUCCUCGGCGCCUCCAAAUAAGAGUCCAUUCUGACCUCUGCAUUGAUUUUAGGCUUAUAAGAUUAAGCAGGUGAUCCAGCCACACGGUUCUGGUCUUCUGAGCUCCCGGAGAAAUGCAUGUUGUUUGAAGCUGCUAAGUUUGUGGCAAUAUGUUACUCAGCAACAGAAAACUAAUAUACUUGGAAUAGAAUAUUCACUGUGAAUGAAGGAAGUUUUGAGCUCUAUAAAAAUGGAAAACUUUUAUCUUACUCUCACUUCCAACUAAUUUCCCAGAUGCAUUAUCACUUCAGAACAUUCUGCAGGGUAUUGGCGAUGAUUUUUCUUCUUUAUAGAGAUCCAGUAUUAAGUUAGAGAAUAAAUAGUGGUAAUAAUAAUAAUUAAUAAUAAUAUAGAUAACAUUUUGAGCGUGUUUAUCAUGUGCUAGCAUUUUGCUAAACACUUUAUCUGCAUUCUCUCAUAUAAUUCCCACAAUGGUCAUUUUAAGACAGAGAUUAUUACUAUUUUCAUUUUGUGUUUUCGGAAUUAGAGAAUUGCAGACAUGUAUAAAUCUUCAUAUAUAAACCUGUGAUAUUGUGGUAUAAUGGGAAAUAUAUAUUUUGUUUCUGCUCCUGGUUCCUGGCACAAAGCUACUAAAACCCUUGUAGUUUCCUGACUAAUAGGGGUGCUAGGUAUAUCUUUGGUUCUGAUAUUGGGUCUUUGAUUCCAGUUCCUGACAUGGUGCUCAUAAUCCCUUAGAAUUUUCUGGGUGAUACAUGUGUCUUUUUUUCUAAGGAAGUGACUCUUGAUGGGCUACUGGAUUGGAGCUUGUCACCAGAAAGACCAAGCCAUGAUUAGAAGCUUGGAACUUUCAGCCUCAGCCCCUAUCCUCCAGGAAGCAGAGAGGGGCUGGAGAUUGUUAAUAAUCAAUCUUGCCUAUGUGAUGAAGCUUCCAUAAAAAUCCCUGAAUUCUGGGGUUCAGAGAGAUGCAAGGUUGCUGAACAUGUGGAGAUGCUAGGAGGGUGGUGCCCUGGAAAGAGCAUGGAGGUUCAAGAGCCCCUUUCCCCAUACCUUGCCCUGUGUAUCUCACCCCCUCUGGCUGUUAAUCUGUAUCCUUAGUAAUAUUCUUUAUGAUAAAAUGGCAAGUGUAAAUAAAGUGUUUCCCUGAAUCCUAUGAGCCACUCCAGCUAAUUAAGCAAACCUGAGGGGGUUCUAGAAAACACCAAUUUAUAGCCCAUCAGUCAGAAGUUCUAGAGGCCCAUACUUGUGAUUAGCAUCUGGAGCGAGGGGCAGUCUUGCGGUGCUGAGUCCUCACCUUGUGAGAUCUGACUCCAACUCCAGGUAGGUAUUGUCAGAAUCGAGUUAAAUUGUAGGACACCCCAUUAGUGUCCACUGGAGAACUGCUUGCAGUGUAAGGGGAAAAUCCCACAAAUCUGGUGUCAACAGUCUUGUAAUGUUUUGUUGAGAAUAUAAUAGAAGAUGCUUAGUUCAUCUGUUUGUUUGUUUACUAUCAUACAGAACCAAAAUCCAGGUCUGUCUGAUCUUAAACCCAUUUGCCUGGUGGAAAGUUAUGGAUGGUGCUCAGAGUUCACUGUUCUCUUUCUGUUUCAUAUGCUCAGGUGUGUUGCUAAACAUGAGAUGCUGGGAAACUGAAAGGAAUACGUAAGAAAGAUGGCAACAAUUAAAAAAUGCAGAAUGAGGUUGAUCUAAAAUAAAAGUUGACAACCAAUGAAAUGGAGUCCUUAAAAUUCAUUUUUCAUAGAAGAACAGAUAACGGAAUUACAUACUUAAGAUAAAUAAUUGCCUGGGCUUGGUUUACUGAGAUUUUUUAACUGUGUUUUAUAUUUGUGAUUUAAAAAACUAUCAGGGAAGCUUAUCUGCAAUGUGUUAAGAGCCAACUACAUAAAUAGAAAUCAUAGACUCCAUCAAGAGGGACAAAAAUC